GACGAACGCUGGCGGCGUGCCUAAUACAUGCAAGUUGAGCGCUGAAGGUUGGUACUUGUACCAACUGGAUGAGCAGCGAACGGGUGAGUAACGCGUGGGGAAUCUGCCUUUGAGCGGGGGACAACAUUUGGAAACGAAUGCUAAUACCGCAUAAAAACUUUAAACACAAGUUUUAAGUUUGAAAGAUGCAAUUGCAUCACUCAAAGAUGAUCCCGCGUUGUAUUAGCUAGUUGGUGAGGUAAAGGCUCACCAAGGCGAUGAUACAUAGCCGACCUGAGAGGGUGAUCGGCCACAUUGGGACUGAGACACGGCCCAAACUCCUACGGGAGGCAGCAGUAGGGAAUCUUCGGCAAUGGACGAAAGUCUGACCGGGCAACGCCGCGUGAGUGAAGAAGGUUUUCGGAUCGUAAAACUCUGUUGGUAGAGAAGAACGUUGGUAAGAGUGGAAAGCUCAUCAAGUGACGGUAACUACCCAGAAAGGGACGGCUAACUACGUG
rnacentral:rRNA from 1 species